GACGAACGCUGGCGGCGUGCUUAACACAUGCAAGUCGAACGCUGAAGCUCAGCUUUUGUUGGGUGGAUGAGUGGCGAACGGGUGAGUAACACGUGAGUAACCUGCCUCCUUCUUUGGGAUAACGCCCGGAAACGGGUGCUAAUACUGGAUAUUCACUGGUCUUCGCAUGGGGGUUGGUGGAAAGGGUUUUGCUGGUGGGGGAUGGGCUCGCGGCCUAUCAGCUUGUUGGGGGGGUGAUGGCCUACCAAGGCUUUGACGGGUAGCCGGCCUGAGAGGGUGACGGGUCAGGUUGGGACUGAGGUACGGCCGAGGCGCCGACGGGGGGCGACAGGGGGGAGGAUGGGACAAUGGGCUGAAGCCGGAUGCAGCAACGCCGCGGGCGGGAGGGGGGCCUUCGGUUUGGAAACCGCUUGCGCCUGUGACGAAGCGGGAGUGACGGUAAUGGGUAAAGAAGCACCGGCUAACUACGUG
rnacentral:rRNA from 1 species